UACGUAGGGCGCAAGCGUUUGUCCGGAAUUAUUGGGCGUAAAGAGCUCGUAGGCGGUUUGUCGCGUCUGCUGUGAAAACUCGGGGCUCAACCUCGGGCUUGCAGUGGAUACGGGCAGACUAGAGUGCGGUAGGGGGAGACUGGAAUUCCUGGUGUAGCGGUGGAAUGCGCAGAUAUCAGGAGGAACACCGAUGGCGAAGGCAGGUCUCUGGGCCGCAACUGACGCUGAGGAGCGAAAGCAUGGGGAGCGAACAGG
rnacentral:rRNA from 1 species